rnacentral:misc_RNA from 1 species
UUCUUUGUGACUUCCUGUCAGU